AGCUACUUCAAUUGCCAAAGUUAUGGCUUUCGGUAGCCGAACGUGGGUACUUCCAGAAUUCCCAAUUUGAACCACAGAAACUCAACUAGGCCAAAACUUGAUCCUUUCUUUCCUAAGCUCAAAACUCAACUCAAAAAUAUAUAUUUACGCCAUAAACUAAUCAACUAACCCUACCAAACCUAGAAUUUCAAUUUGCAUUCACAAUUCCUUUAAAUCCACAAGGAAUUUCAAAUCCAACCAAACCCAAAGUAAAAGAACAUUCCAAAAGAAUCAUUAUUUCACAAAGUCUCAUUCUCAACCUCUCAUGUAAUUUAAAUUCUCCUCUUUAUUUCAACCUAAAGCAUAUUACAUAAACUCCUCAAAUUAAAGAGAGAACAAGAUCUCUCUUGCAUGCAACAUCAAUUAACAACAUCCAUGGACAAGAAAAGGAAGAAUUAGCUAUCACAGCACAAGAAAGACUUACCUUUGAAGCUAAACUCCCUAAACACUAGGAUUGCAUGCAAAGAAGAAUUCUUUAUCUACUCUUCAGCUUAAUUCCUUUUUCCUCCCAUCUAGAACUCCUUGCAUGGAAGAGAAAGAAAAAAAAAAG
rnacentral:misc_RNA from 1 species